rnacentral:rRNA from 1 species
AGAGUUUGAUCCUGGCUCAGGAUAAACGCUGGCGGCGUGCCUAACACAUGCAAGUCGAACGUCCGAGGGGCAACCCUCGGGAGUGGCGGACGGGUGAGUAAAACGUGGGUCAUCUACCUUUCGGUGAGGAAUACCGGCGAGAAAUCGCCGACAAAACCGCAUGAGAUCGUGAGAGCGAAGAAAGUCGCAAGACGCCGAAA